CUUGGUCAUUUAGAGGAAGUAAAAGUCGUAACAAGGUUUCCGUAGGUGAACCUGCGGAAGGAUCAUUAAUGAGAACUUGCCCUUCGGGGUAGAUCUCCCACCCUUUGUAUACUUACUUUGUUGCUUUGGCACACCUGCCCUCGGGCUACCGGCUUCGGCUGGUGAGUGUGUGCCGGAGAACCCAAAACUCUGUUUAAAAUGUCGUCUGAGUACUAUAUAAUAGUUAAAACUUUCAACAACGGAUCUCUUGGUUCUGGCAUCGAUGAAGAACGCAGCGAAAUGCGAUAAGUAAUGUGAAUUGCAGAAUUCAGUGAAUCAUCGAAUCUUUGAACGCACAUUGCGCUCCCUGGUAUUCCGGGGAGCAUGCCUGUUCGAGCGUCAUUACAACCCUCAAGCUCAGCUUGGUAUUGGGCCUCGCCAUCACCGGCGGGCCUUAAAAUCAGUGGCGGUGCCGUCUGGCUCCAAGCGUAGUAAUUAUUCUCGCUUUGGAAUCCUUCGGUUGCUUGCCAAUAACCCCCAAUUUUUUAAGGUUGACCUCGGAUCAGGUAGGGAUACCCGCUGAACUUAAGCAUAUCAAUAAGCGGAGGA
rnacentral:rRNA from 1 species